CCUACGGGAGGCAGCAGUGAGGAAUAUUGGUCAAUGGGCGGGAGCCUGAACCAGCCAAGCCGCGUGAGGGAAGAAGGUACAGCGUAUUGUAAACCUCUUUUGUCAGGGAACAAAGGCGGGGACUAGUCCCCGGAUGAGGGUACCUGAAGAAAAAGCAUCGGCUAACUCCGUGCCAGCAGCCGCGGUAAUACGGAGGAUGCGAGCGUUAUCCGGAUUUAUUGGGUUUAAAGGGUGCGUAGGCGGCCUGUUAAGUCAGCGGUAAAAGCCCGGGGCUCAACCCCGGCGAGCCGUUGAAACUGGCGGGCUGGAGAUGGAGAGAAGUACGCGGAAUGCGCGGUGUAGCGGUGAAAUGCUUAGAUAUCGCGCAGAACCCCGAUUGCGAAGGCAGCGUACCGGCUCCACACUGACGCUGAGGCACGAAAGCGUGGGUAUCGAACAGGAUUAGAUACCCUUGUAGUC
rnacentral:rRNA from 1 species